AGAUGCAUACUAAGUGUACUGCUGAAGAUCUUAAAGCAGUAUCAUAUCCGAGUAAUAUGAAGGUUUUAUCGAAUAUUCUUUGCUGUUGUAUUAUUUACACAGAUUAGUCUCACUUCCUCUCUAACCUUCUGUCAUAAUACAAAAUCUUGCCAUCCCAAUUAGUUUCAUUCUUGCAACUAGAAAUGCUUUGCCAUGCUCUAAUCUAACUCCUUUCUACUUGUUUAUAUGGAUAACUCAUAUGGGUAAAAAAAGCUACUACGACACUUUCUUGAAGAGAUACCAGGACCGUGCGAAGGAGAAGGACUGGAGAUAUCCACUUAUGGUUGCAUUGUCAUACUCACCUCAAAUUCUUGAGGAUGGAAGUGUUCCUGUAACACCAAAUGACGUUCUGAUCGAUGCCCUUGUGACACCUUCUGGUGUGGUUCCCAUUACCCCUCGGGCUAUUGAAAUAAUGUGAGAUCAGGAGCUUGUGUUUGGAGCUGACACUCGGGAUUUGUUGGUAUGCGCUUGAAGGCAGCAUUCUGGAAUAAUCAAACUCAGUAUCAGCUUCUGUAAUUGCCACUAAAAGAUUUUACUAAAUUUGAUGUGUGCCUUGUUUGUAUGAUGAGAUAUGCAGUUCAAUCCAAUGGUCUUCCACCCGUUUAUUCUA